rnacentral:lncRNA from 1 species
AAUAACUAAUUAAUUCCUCAAGCUGCACAUUCAAAUUAUCAUUAAUUCACAGUGAUUCAUGAGGUAACCAAUAAUCAGAAGAACAAGUGCAAAAUAAAUAUCAUAAACAUAAAUUAACCAUAUGGGUUUUAUUUAAAUCUAAUGCUCAAGUGACAUAGCACCACAUCUACAUCCUGGUGUUAAAAACACAAGGUGAUAUCAAGCUCUCAAUGCAGACUUCUGGAGUGUUUUCGAACUCAAUAAACUUUGAAGUGUUAUUUUUAUGAUUGUAAGAAAUAUACUCCCAUCCCUUAUCCCCUUUAUACGUCAGCAGCAGUACUUGUUCAUCCUCAAAAACACAUAUUCCCAGAAUAUUGGGAUAACAUAAUGUAGAAGGAGGUUUUGAUUUGGG